rnacentral:rRNA from 1 species
GAUGAACGCUAGCGGCAGGCUUAACACAUGCAAGUCGAGGGGAAUAGUUCUUCGGAACUAGAGACCGGCGCACGAGUGCGUAACGCGUAUGCAAUCUACCUUUUACAGGGGGAUAGCCCAGAGAAAUUUGGAUUAAUACCCCAUAGUAUGUAGAGUGGCAUCAUUUUAACAUUAAAGUUCCAACGGUAAAAGAUGAGCAUGCGUCCCAUUAGCUAGAUGGUAAGGUAACGGCUUACCAUGGCGACGAUGGGUAGGGGUCCUGAGAGGGAGAUCCCCCACACUGGUACUGAGACACGGACCAGACUCCUACGGGAGGCAGCAGUGAGGAAUAUUGGACAAUGGGCGCAAGCCUGAUCCAGCCAUGCCGCGUGCAGGAAGACGGUCCUAUGGAUUGUAAACUGCUUUUGUACAGGAAGAAACCCUCCCUCGUGAGGGAGCUUGACGGUACUGUAAGAAUAAGGAUCGGCUAACUCCGUGCCAGCCGCCGCCGUAAAAC